rnacentral:rRNA from 1 species
UCCAUGGGUGCGACGAACCAGGCUUCGGCCUGGGGCAAAGCCGCGAACGGGUGAGUAACACGUGGGUAAUCUGCCCCAAUGACCGGGACAACCCGAGGAAACUCGGGCUAAUACCGGAUGUGGUGCUUGGACAUAAGUCCUUGUACUAAAGGUAGCUUCGGCUUCCGCAUUGGGAGGGGCCCGCGGCCCAUUAGCUAGUUGGUGGGGUCAAGGCCUACCAAGGCAACGAUGGGUAGCUGGUCUGAGAGGACGAUC